rnacentral:lncRNA from 1 species
UUUGACACCCUCUUCUGACCUCUGCAGCUUCAUGCACAGAUGUGAUGCCUGUCCAUACACCCCGGCUUACAUGUGUGCACAUAAAAUGUGUGUUUUUUUUUUUUUUUAAAGAAAGAAAAUAUACCCAUAGUUACCCAUGAUGGCUCAUUCCUGUAAUAUGAGUUCUCUGAAGCUUGAUGGGGAAAAAAAAAAAAAAAAAAAAGAUUAUGAGUUCAAAGCCAACCUGGACAAGCGAGUCCUGUCUUUAAAAGGGUUUUAAAAGGACUGGGGACAUAGUUCAAUGGUAGUGUUCUCGCCUAGUAUGUUCAAGGCCCUAGGUUUGAUCCCUAGUUAUAUGUAAGUAUGAAUGUAUGUAUGUAUGUAUGUAUUUGAGACAGGGUCUCUACAUAGCCAUGGCUAUCCUGAAAUAACUUUGUAGACCAGGCUAGCCUCAAGCUCACAAAACUCCUCUUGCCUCUGCCUCCUGAGUGCUAGAAUUAAAGCUUUGCACCACCAAAGCCCAGCUAACCACUAGUACACACACGCUCGCGCGCACACACACACACAAGGCACACAUGCACACGCACACAUGCACACACAGCCUCAAAAGGAAAGAAAAUACAAGAAAUGAAACACAGGCCUGGCAGAUUCUCUCCAGCUCUAUAUAUUUAAAAACGUAAUGGUUGUUCUGAGCGACUUCUGUGCAUCCUUCCUUACACCUCAGGCCUCUCAGUUCCUCAGCAGAUUUCGUCCUUCUCCUUUUUGCAUGGAGUCGGCGCAGCUGAGCACAGUCUGACGUUAGAAGCGGCCUCCUGUUCAUCAAGCUGGUGGCGGCCACUGAGAAGGGCCCCAUCCUUCCGAGUCUUUAGGCUCCUCAGGAACAAUGUUUGUCUUUAUGCCAUAGAAAAAUGCUAAGAAAGAGAAGAAGGUUUGAACGCAGAUGAGGCGUCUCAGUCGGGGAGGGGCUUGCCGCUGAGCUGAUGGCCUGUGUUUGUGGGAUUCCCCAGGACCCACAUGGUGAAGGUGUAUGCUAUCAGCUGACUUCCACAAGCACUUUGUACCGAGCACACACUCAUGCACACACAUGAAAUAAGUGAACAAGUGUCAUUUUAAAAAAAAUAAUU